rfam:Papio anubis isolate 1X1155 chromosome X, whole genome shotgun sequence.
UUGCCCAACGGGGCUGUGGAUACCUACCUUUUAAUUCCUUUUU